AUAAAAUUAAUAAAAGAAAAAAGAAAAAAAAUUAAACACUUUUUUUUCAUUCAAUUUCUCUCUUUUCUAUUUCUUUCCUUUCAGUUUUAUUCUUAAUACUAACAAAACACCCGUUUUUAAUUGGUUGAAUCAUAGGUUUUGGGUGUGGAGCCUCCGCAGAAUAUAACCCUGAAGGAUAUUGGAUUGAAAGUUAUAAGGGGGACUGAGGAUUAAGAGAUUAAUGGAUACUCUGAAGGUGACAAGCGUGAUCACUUCACUUCUUUGCUAAAAGAGGUGAAAGCAUUGUAGAGAGCAGUCCAGGGUAGAGACGUGGCUAGGGAGGAGGGUAGUCCUCCUGUGUUUGUGUUAAUGGGGUGGCAUGGGAUCCGGAAAGAGCACUGUUCUUAAAAACAUUCUUGAUGACAAAUCACUAUUUCGGUCAGACGCUUUAAAUGUUGCUGUGGUUGAGGCAGAUGCUUUGAAGGAAGGAAGCCCACGUCAUAUGUAGAGCCCUUAGCUCCAGAGGGGAGGUGACCCUGAUGACAUGCUCCAAGCUGCCGGAUUGGGGCACGAAUCUUCCACUUCUGCAUCAUCUCUCUGCUAGUGACAGCUUUAAAUGAGGGCCUAGAUGUGAUCUUGGAUACUACCUCAUCAUGGGAACCAUAAUGCUCCUCCAACACCAGAGGUAAAUUUGAACAAUUGUCCCUCUUUGUGCUGAAAUGUUUGAUAUGUGAUGAGUGCUUGCAAUACAGCUUUUGUGGGGGAAUAAAGGUGAUCCCAAUAAAAGCAGUGGACCCUGAAGCUAUCAAAUUCUUGGAAAGGUAAGGCACUUUGAAUGCUGAAGCUGAUUCCAUAUACGAACUUCACAAGGAACCUAGCCCCAA